rnacentral:rRNA from 1 species
ACUCCUACGGGAGGCAGCAGUGGGGAAUUUUGGACAAUGGGCGCAAGCCUGAUCCAGCCAUGCCGCGUGAGUGAAGAAGGCCUUCGGGUUGUAAAGCUCUUUCGGCAGGAACGAAAUGGUUCGUGCUAAUACCACGGACUGAUGACGGUACCUGAAGAAGAAGCACCGGCUAACUACGUGCCAGCAGCCGCGGUAAUACGUAGGGUGCAGGCGUUAAUCGGAAUUACUGGGCGUAAGGCGUGCGCAGGCGGUUUCUUAAGUCAGAUGUGAAAGCCCCGGGCUUAACCUGGGAACUGCGUUUGAAACUGGGAGACUUGAGUGUGGCAGAGGGGGGUGGAAUUCCACGUGUAGCAGUGAAAUGCGUAGAUAUGUGGAGGAACACCGAUGGCGAAGGCAGCCCCCUGGGCUAACACUGACGCUCAUGCACGAAAGCGUGGGGAGCAAACAGGAUUAGAUACCCUGGUAGUCCACGCCCUAAACUAUGUCAACUGGUUGUCGGGGGAUUAACUCCCUUGGUAACGAAGCUAACGCGUGAAGUUGACCGCCUGGGGAGUACGGCCGCAAGGUUAAAACUCAAAGGAAUUGACGGGGACCCGCACAAGCGGUGGAUUAUGUGGAUUAAUUCGAUGCAACGCGAAAAACCUUACCUACCCUUGACAUGUACGGAAUCUCUCAGAGAUGGGAGAGUGCCCGAAAGGGAACCGUAACACAGGUGCUGCAUGGCUGUCGUCAGCUCGUGUCGUGAGAUGUUGGGUUAAGUCCCGCAACGAGCGCAACCCUUGUCAUUAGUUGCUACACUUAGUUGGGCACUCUAAUGAGACUGCCGGUGACAAACCGGAGGAAGGUGGGGAUGACGUCAAGUCCUCAUGGCCCUUAUGGGUAGGGCCUCACACGUAAUACAAUGGCCGGUACAGAGGGCUGCCAACCCGCGAGGGGGAGCUAAUCUCAGAAAGCCGGUCGUAGUCCGGAUUGUUCUCUGCAACUCGAGAGCAUGAAGUUGGAAUCGCUAGUAAUCGCGGAUCAGCAUGUCGCGGUGAAUACGUUCCCGGGUCUUGUACACACCGCCCGUCACACCAUGGGAGUGGGUUUCACCAGAAGUAGGUUGCCUAACCGCAAGGAGGGCGCUUACCACGGUGAGAUUCAUGACUGGGGUGAAGUCGUAACAAGGUAGCC